UGAUAACUAUGAUGAUUAAACUAUGAUGAUUAACUAUAACAAUCAGUAUCAGCAAAAACCGUGCUCAAACUUCCGGCAGUUCAUCUGUUCUUAAAAUAAGAGUGAGCAAGUGUUUUCCAGCAGUUCGAGAUCACAGAACAUGGACAGUAAGGAACCAAAGACCAAAAAGUGAGGGAAGAAAUUGGAUUCAGACGAGAUGCCACAGGAAUUCAGAUGAGAGUACAGGUGGUGAGAGUUGCCAACAGAAAGGGAGGACGGAGCAGUGCGGUAGCUCGCAAAAUGGAAGUGUCGAACUAUCUAAUUCAGCGCAUUGAAAAAUCUUAUUAGGAAUAAUAAAAGAGAACCUUAGCAAAGCAGACAUCUACAUGGAAUCACAGCAGCAACAAUACUAUUCGUCCAAACUUGGAAAACAAAGGAAAUUCCAAAUGACAAUGCUAUAAUAAAG
rnacentral:lncRNA from 1 species